rnacentral:rRNA from 1 species
AGGGAAACAGCCCAGACUACCAGUUAAGGCCCCUAAAUAUUUACUAAGUGAUAAAGGAUGUAAUAGUACAUAGACAACCAGGAGGUUUGCCUAGAAGCAGCCACCCUUUAAAAAGUGCGUAAUAGCUUACUGGUCAAGUGCUUUUGCGCCGAAAAUGAAUGGGACUAAGUAUUUUGCCGAAGCUGUAGGAUAAUAUCGGUAGAAGAGCGUUCUGUAUUGGUUUGAAGCAAUAAUGAAAAUAGUUGUGGACUAAGCAGAAGUGAGAAUGUCGGCUUAAGUAACGAAAACAUUGGUGGAAAUCCAAUGCCCCGAAAGCCUAAGGUUUCCUUCGCAAGGCUCGUCCACGAAGGGUUAGUCAGGUCCUAAAAUAAGGUUAAUAAACGUAGUUGAUGGAUAACAGGUUAAUAUUCCUGUACCGUGUUUUAUUUGUUGAAAGUGACGAAGAAGGCUAUGUCAGCCAUAUAUUGGUUGUUUUGGUUUAAUCUUUCCAGACGUUGAGAAGUAGAAAAAAAAAUGCUUCGAGUUGAGAAGAGAAUACGAAUAGCAUUACGGUGCUUAAAGUGAUUUAUGUCAUGCUUCCAAGAAAAGCUUUUACAACGCGUAGUAAAACACGCCUGUACCUUAAACUGACACAGGUAGGCUAGUAGAGUAUACUAAGGGGCGCGAGAUAACUCUUUCUAAGGAACUCGGCAAAAUGACUCUGUAACUUCGGGAGAAAGAGUACCUCUAUUAACAUGAGGUCGCAGUAAUCAGACUCAAGCGACUGUUUACCAAAAACACAGGUCUCCGCUAAGUUGUAAAACUAUGUAUGGGGGCUGACGCCUGCCCAGUGCCGGAAGGUUAAAAAAAUUGGUUAGCGUAAGCAAAGCUGGUGAUUGAAGCCCUGGUGAACGGCGGCCGUAACUAUAACGGUCCUAAGGUAGCGAAAUUCCUUGUCGGGUAAGUUCCGACCCGCACGAAAGGCGUAACGAUUUGAGUACUGUCUCAGAAAGAGACUCGGUGAAAUAGAAUUGACUGUGAAGAUGCGGUCUACUUGCACUUGGACAGAAAGACCCUAUGAAGCUUUACUGUAACUUGAAAUUGGUUUUGGACUUUCUUUGCGCAGCAUAGGUGGGAGGCUAUGAACUUCUUUUUCGGAAGAUAGGGAGCCACAAUAUGAGAUACCACUCUGAGAAAGUUAGGAAUCUAAUGGCAUUGUUUUAUCAAGAUGUUUGACAGUUUCAGGCGGGCAGUUUUACUGGGGCGGUAGCCUCCUAAAAGGUAACGGAGGCGUACAAAGGUUUUCUCAGUCUGGACGGAAAUUAGUUGAAGAGUGUAAAGACAUAAGAAAGCUUGACUGUGAGACCUACAAGUCGAACAGAGACUAAAGUCGGUCUUAGUGAUCCGACGGUGCUGUGUGGAAAGGCCGUCGCUUAACGGAUAAAAGUUACUCUAGGGAUAACAGGCUGAUCUCCCCCAAGAGUUCACAUCGACGGGGAGGUUUGGCACCUCGAUGUCGGCUCAUCGCAGCCUGGGGCGGUAGUACGUCCCAAGGGUUGGGCUGUUCGCCCAUUAAAGCGGUACGUGAGCUGGGUUCAGAACGUCGAGAGACAGUUCGGUCCAUAUCCGGUGUGAGUGGUAGAGUAUUGAAAGGAGCUUUCCUUAGUACGAGAGGACCGGGAAGGACACACCACUGAUGUACCAGUUUUUGUGCCAACAGAAGACGCUGGGUAGUCAAGUGUGGAGUGGAUACUGC